CCAGCAAGGCCGAAGGCUAUUAUAAUGAUAUGAUGAUACCCGACAUGGCCGAAGGAUAUUAUGAUGAUUGAUUAUACAUAUCAAGGUUAGAACAUAUUAUGGUGAUAUGAUAAUACCCAGCAAGAUCGGAGAAUAUUAUGAUUAUAUGAUGAUACCUGGCGAGUUCGGAGGUUAUUAUUAUGAUAUAAUGAUACCUGAAAAGGAUGGACAAUAUUAUAAUGAUAUGAUGAUACCCAG
rnacentral:lncRNA from 1 species